CAGAUUGAUACAUGUAUCACGCCUAAAGAUUUUAUAUUUUGGUUCUAAUGACUUAUGACGCAGUAACGCGUGAAGUAGACCGCCUGGGAGUACGGUCGCAAGAUUAAAAUUCAAAUGAAUUGACGGGACCCGCACAAGCGGUGGAUGAUGUCGAUUAAUUCGAUGCAACGCGAAAAACCUUACCUACCCUUGACAUGUACAGAAUGCCGAAGAGAUUUGGCGGUGCUCGCAAGAGAACUGUAACACAGGUGCUGCAUGGCUGUCGUCAGCUCGUGUCGUGAGAUGUUGGGUUAAGUCCCGCAACGAGCGCAGCCCUUGUCAUUAGUUGCUACAUUAAGUUCAGCACUCUAAUGAGACUGCCAGUGACAAACCGGAGGUAGGUGGGGAUGACGUCAAGUCCUCAUGGCCCUUAUGGGUAGGGCUUCACACCUCAUACAAUGGUACAUACAGAGGGCCGCCAACCCGCGAGGGGGAGCUAAUCCCAGAAGGUGUAUCGUAGUCCGGAUUGUAGUCUGCAACUCGACUACAUGAAGUUGGAAUCGCUAGUAAUCGCGGAUCAGCAUGUCGCGGUGAAUACGUUCCCGGGUCUUGUACACAACGCCCGUCACACCAUGGGAGCGGGUUUCUCCAGAAGUAGGUAGCUUAACCGCAAGUAGGGCGCUUACCACGGUGGGAUUCGUGACUGGGGUGAAGUCGUAACA
rnacentral:rRNA from 1 species